rnacentral:rRNA from 1 species
GAUGAACGCUGGCGGCGUGCCUAAUACAUGCAAGUCGAGCGAACAGACGAGGAGCUUGCUCCUCUGACGUUAGCGGCGGACGGGUGAGUAACACGUGGAUACCCUACCUAUAAGACUGGGAUAACUUCGGGAAACCGGAGCUAAUACCGGAUAAUAUAUUGAACCGCAUGGUUCAAUAGUGAAAGACGGUUUUGCUGUCACUUAUAGAUGGAUCCGCGCCGCAUUAGCUAGUUGGUAAGGUAACGGCUUACCAAGGCGACGAUGCGUAGCCGACCGGAGAGGGGGAUCGGCCACACUGGAAGUGAGACACGGACCAGACUCCUACGGGAGGGAACAGUAGGGAACCUUCCGCAAUGGGCGAAAGCCUGACGGAGCAACGCCGCGUGAGUGAUGAAGGUCUUCGGAGCGUAAAGCUCUGUUAUUAGGGAAGAACAAAUGUGUAAGUAACUAUGCACGUCUUGACGGUACCUAAUCAGAAAGCCACGGCUAACUACGUG